rnacentral:lncRNA from 1 species
CCGAGAUAUAAGUGCCUGACAUUUGCCAAAAAAAAAAUUCUAGACACUUAGAAUAUUUUCUGGGUUUGAAAAACAGCCGGUCAAUGCCGGUCAACCCACUUUGACCGCUUAUAAAUCCCGAUCUACAAUAUAUAUAUACCUGAUUUCUUUUGGAGUUUAAAGACCACAUAUCAGGAUACCUAUAACAACUUUUAAACAACAAAACUCGUGAUCGACCAAAGAGUUAUAGCCUCUGACAUUUGGUGAAAAAUAACAGAAUUCGAUUUUUCCAACUUGUUUAAAUCUUCAAAUUCGUGCACUUUGAUGUUAUGGGUUCAUGAUUUUACAACCCAGAACAUUAAUAGACUCCUUAUUACACUACUUUAAACAAUCAAUUGCAUCAAUUAACAUCGAAUCGAAGGAUUUCUAAUUUUUGGGAUUUCAUACCUUUUCUUACUUUGAUUUCUUGAUUUCUGACUUUGAUGCUUCUGAUUUGUUGUUUGUGGUGGCUGGGAUUUGAUUAGGAGCUUAUGGGCAAGAUAAAUUCGUAGGUUUGAGCUUGAAAAAAUAUGUCCAAGUGUGGGUGAAUAUAUAGGCCAAAAAUGUACACUUUCUCUCUCUUCUAUCAUGUAAUUGAUAACAUGUGUUUGUAAUAGUUGAUAAAUGUGUUGCAUAAAUGUUAAAUCAGUAGGGUAGACAUGUUGGCUAGCAUUAUUUGUGAAGAUUCCACCAACAAUGUGACCAAUAAUACACAAUAAUUAACUAAUAAUACACUAAAAGGGUAUUUUGGUAAUUUCGCAUAUAAUUUCAUGGGCAUUUUUGUACAUAGCAAUUAAAUGUAGUAUUUAAUCACUAGAUGGUAAUUCUUAUCAUUUACCAAUUACUUUCUAUCCUUUGGUAAAUUAAAACAUUUAUACAAUAACAUCGUAAUUAAACCCAAUAAUUUUAAAUUAGGGUUUUGAUUGAAAAAUUAGGGUUUUCUAAUUAGGG